rnacentral:rRNA from 1 species
AUACGGAGGGGGUUAGCGUUGUUCGGAAUUACUGGGCGUAAAGCGCGCGCAGGCGGUCUUUUAAGUUGGAUGUGAAAGCCUACAGCUCAACUGUAGAACUGCAUCCAAAACUAUUAGACUAGAGUCUGGGAGGGGAAGAUGGAAUUAGUUGUGUAGGGGUAAAGUCCGUAGAGAUAACUAGGAAUACCAAAAGCGAAGGCGAUCUUCUGGAACAGUACUGACGCUGAGGCGCGAAAGCGUGGGGAGCAAACAGGAUUAGAAACCCCAGUAGUCC